ACCUGAACCACUCCGCCAGAGCUCAGG
rnacentral:sRNA from 1 species